GCUCCCUUCCUUCCGCGGCUUCUUCUUUCCCUGUGUCCGAAGAGGUCUGCGUUGCGACUUACGUGGUAGUGCUUGGAAGGUGCGGAGUAGAUGAGAGAUAAGUGAAUGUGGACAAACCUGUCACGUAGGACGAGGUGGCCGAGUGGUUAAGGCGAUGGACUGCUAAUCCAUUGUGCUUUGCACGCGUGGGUUCGAAUCCCAUCCUCGUCGGCCCUGUUUUAUAGAGGUUGGGGGGGAAGCAUCUACAUUUUCACAUCCUGCCUAUUUGGAGCAGCAAGCUGGAGGUGCGAGGGGUGAGGCAUCUAAAUUUUCACAUCCUGCCUGUGGAGCAGCAAGCUGAAGAAAACUGAACUGGGGCCCAGAGCAAAAACACACACUGAGUACCUGGUCUCUGCCAGGAACUGUGUUAGGCACGAGGGAUGGGCCUUGGAGGAGACACAGGUAUUGUCCUUGAGAGUUUCCACUGGUGACCUUGGCUGUAAAGAGGAGAAAAAUUGAAGGUGGCGGGUUCCUGUAGUCCCAGCUACUCAGGAGGCUGAGGCAGGAGAAUGGCAUGAACCCGGGAGGCAGAGCUUGCAGUGAGCCGAGAUCGUGCCACUGCACUCCAGCCUGGGUGACAGAGCGAAACUCCGUCUCAAAAAAAAAAAAAAAUCACCCCUGCACCCUGAGCUGAUGAAGUUGUGCUGGGUCUACUGGGAAGGAGGAUGGGAAGACGGAAUCCCAGGUUGUGACAUCAUGAUCCUGAGGGCACUCCAAGUGGAUGAAGAGCAGCUCCUGCCCGCUGCUGGCAGCCUCAGGCCCAGGGGCCUCCACCCCGCAGAGGCCUGAGCCAAGCUCGCCAUUCGCCCUGGGCUGGAUCUCAGCUCCGGAAGGAGACGUCGAGAAGAGGCUGCCAAAGAGCCUGGAGGGGCCACUUCAGAGCAGCGCCUUGAAGAGGAAGGAGAGGGAGGCUCCACAGGAAAGUCCCAGGGCCAGGAAGAAGGUCAUGAGGGCGCCGGCCACCUCCCUCUCGUGUGGCAGCACCUGCCUAGAACACCCGGGAACAGGAGCUCUUAGAAAAUGCUGGGUCUAAAUCUGGACCCAGCUCCACUGCCCUCUGCCCAUCCAGUCUGGGCUCUGACCCAACCCCUCUGUCACCAUAACUGGCCCCUUCUUUCCGGGCCUCAGUUUCCUGGUCUGUAAAUGAGGCUGCUGGAUAAGGAUGUCUCUCAGGGCCUCUGAGUCUAACAUGAUGGGAUUCCAG
rnacentral:lncRNA from 1 species